rnacentral:rRNA from 1 species
GACGAAGGGGCUAGCGUUGUUCGGAAUUACUGGGCGUAAAGCGCGUGUAGGCGGUUAUCCAAGUCGGGUGUGAAAGCCUUGAGCUCAACUCAAGAAAUGCACUCGGUACUGGGUGACUAGAGGACCGGAGAGGAUAGUGGAAUUCCCAGUGUAGUGGUGAAAUACGUAGAGAUUGGGAAGAACACCAGUGGCGAAGGCGGCUAUCUGGACGGUUUCUGACGCUAAGACGCGAAAGCGUGGGGAGCAACAGG